UACGUAGGGGGCAAGCGUUGUCCGGAAUUAUUGGGCGUAAAGAGCGCGUAGGCGGUCCGGUAAGUCAGCUGUGAAAGUCCAGGGCUCAACCCUGGGAUGCCGGUGGAUACUGUCGGGCUCGAGUCCGGAAGAGGAGUGUGGAAUUCCUGGUGUAGCGGUGAAAUGCGCAGAUAUCAGGAGGAACACCAAUGGCGAAGGCAGCACUCUGGGACGUGACUGACGCUGAGACGCGAAAGCGUGGGGAGCAAACAGG
rnacentral:rRNA from 1 species